AUGUCUCUCGCCGGCUGCGGCAGUGGCGGCGGCGCGGCGGCGACGUGGACGCCACCGUACUGCACCAUCGUGGCGGCCGAGACGUCCGACUUCUCGUACCUCUCCUGCCCGACCUGCGGCCGCGCGUGCGGCGGACCCGCCCCGGCGCGCGCCUACCGGCUGCUCCUCUCCGUGGCCACCCACGACCGCGUCUUCCCCGUCGUCCUCUUCGACCGCGCCGCGCGCGCCCUGCUCGGCUGCUCCGCUGACGAGCUCGCGCGCCUCUUCGCCGCGGCGGACGCCCUGCAUGGGGAAAUGUGUCGCCUGGCGCUGCGCGAGCCCACCAAGGACGGUGCCGAGCACCUCCGCGCCGUCUCCGUCGUGCCGCUCCGUGACGGGUUCCGCCCGGUCGUCGACACCCUCAGGACGCUCUACUCGCGCGCCGGCGGCUGA
rnacentral:rRNA from 1 species